UGGCUGAUUUUCUUUUUGUGUUUUUUUGGGUUUGGUGAUAUACGUGUUAUGUUGUUCACUGCUCCCACCUUCCGAUUCUUCCAAUUAGAAAAGGACAACAAAUCUAUCAUCACCGCCUCCCCCAUUGAUUCAAUUGAUUGAUUUCCUCUCGAACCUUCUCUUUCAUGUCAAUUCCACCCAUCCCUCUCUCUUUCACCUUUCUCUCUAAUUUCUUAUCCAUCUUCAGGGACACUGCUUGCCAUAGCUGUCGCCAUCCACAACCACCUCCACCGUCUCUUGAAUGUGCUACGUGUUAUAUUUCUGCACCCGAUCCUACGUCUCUCUCUCUGAACGCAUCGGCAUCCCUUCUAUCUAACCCUGGUUUCUUUCGAUUACAAUCGGGUUGAAUCCAACCAACAUGAGCCACGAUUUCGGGUUAGGCUUCAAAGUCAAAUUCCUUUCUUGGAACUAUUCUAAUUUCAUCGACCCAUGUCUCAGGUAUAUGUAAGAUUUGGAAGAAAAGUCGAUUCACCAAACCACUUCCCUGCUCCGCCUUCUAACACCAUCGACUCACCAAACCUGGUCCUCCUUCUAAGAAUCGAUUCACCAAACCACUUUAGUUCUGACAACCAAACCUUCACUUCGGUUCGUAAAUCACGUAUGUCUUUCUGCCUUCUAAAUUCUCCUCGACUCCCUGUAAAUUGAAAGAAAAUGAUGAUCUUUAUAGGUACGAACCUUUUCUCCAUAUUAGUUAUUUUUAUACUUUUAAACACCAUAAGUUUAUUUUUUUUCUUCUCAGGUUAGUUAGAAGUAAUGAAUUCUCUUUACAAUUUUACUAUGGAUACAAUGCACAUCAGGUGCUCGACAAAUUGUCUCAAAGAAUGUUCAAAGGUUCUUUUGUCAUGGAUUUCUAUGGAAGUGAGAUAUAUUUAAUACCUCUUUCAAAUAUUUUUUCAUUUCUUAUUUCUUAUAUAUCCAACCAUCAAGAAUCAACAAAUUUCAGAUAUCCUUUGCAACAUUGUUUUUUCUCUCCAACUACAACAAAUAAGUGUGGAAAUCAGGAAUCCAAAGCUUUUUUCAAAGAAGCUGGACCACCAGAGUUGGCUUUGGUGGGAGAAGUCGUCGGAAAGGAGUCAACUCAAAUGUCAGCGCAGAAAUAGAAAGAGUCGUGCCGAAAAAAGUGGACUCUUCUGAAUCUCCUCUUCUCUAUCUCCCCCUUUUUUUUUUGCCUUCGGCUAUUACCCUAGAAAAUGAAAGCUCUGCAUGAUCCAUUUCUUCUCAUUCCGACAUAUUUUCUGAUUAUUAGGUUUGUUCAACAUUUCAACUCUUUAAAUUGUUUUUUAACAUGUGACUAACAUGUAAAAACUGAACUAAUGGUGUAUGAUCAUCUUCUUUCGACAUAAAAGGUACACAUUGAUGACCAGUUUAUUUGGGAUAGUUAUAACCAUAUAUGCAAUAACUUAAAGCUUAACUUUCAACCUCUAAACCUUGGAUUUUGACCAUUAAGUAUUAGGGAAUAUAUUUGGUAUUGACGUAUUGUCCAAGUUUGCAACCUUCUCUUCCCUUUAUAUUUUAUUUCAACUUUAUCCUUUUGGUUUUCCAAAAGUUAUUAACUGUAUUUUUCCUUUUAUUACUUUAUCAUCCCAUGAUUCAAAGGUCUCUAAAAAGUAUUGUGCAAAGAUCACGUGAUAUAAAUCCAAUUUGCAUUCAUCAUAAAUGGUUACAAUUUUGUAUAGUUUUCUUGCAAAAAUAUGAGGUGAUAAAUUGUUUAUUUGUACAUUCAUAUAUUAUAAGUGAUUACAGUUUUCUAGAGGUUGAAUGCAAUCUUUACAAUAAAGGGUAGUUUGUCGUUUGACCAAAAAUGUCAAAGUUGAGCAACUUACUUUCAUUAUUUGUGAGUGUUUUCUUUAUACCUCUGAUCUCACAAUGUUAUUUGGGAUCUUUAAUUUCAUAAUUUAGCUUACUUUUUAUGAUAUUUGAAUCAAAAUGAUACCAAAUGCAUAUUUAGUUUAUCUUGGGUGGGCCAUGGUUGUUAUAAUUCUUUUGAUUGCUACAACAUGACUUGGGGAGAAUGGUUCCACCUGCUCAAGUGUCCCGAUACCGAGCUUCCUUCGGUCAUCUCUGUCUUGAUCGUUGGCCGUCGUCUCCCCCCUCCAAAUGGGUACUACCCUUGACUGUUGGACACAUAUAUGUAUGAGCUAAUCUUCAAAACUAAUUUUUUUUGUUAUGAAGUAAAUCUUUUGCCAAUAUGUUGUCAAUGGAGCAUGAACUUGUGGAAAGAGAGAUUCGAAGUGGAAGCUUGCGUGUGUACUAAUUGUUAUUGGGCUUUCCUGUUGCGACAAAGGUAUGUGUCAAAAUUUAUGUUAAUUUCAUUAUAUCUUUUACAUUGUGUUGGAUGCUUAUUGGGUUUUAGUUUUUGUUGACAGUUUAUGGUUCACAACCUGAGUUUGUAUUUAUUUUUUUAGAUUCUUGGUCAUUCACUUGGUGGUGGCACACCAAAGGAAAUUGUUAUUUGUUGUAAUUUUCAUAUUUAAAUAGCAUAGUCCUUUACAAUGUAACACAGUAAAAUCUUUCUAUUUUUUAAUUUAUUUGGCGUGUACAACCCCGCAAAGCGGGGUUCUUCCCUAGUUAUCCAUGUUUUGAAAACCGGACCGGACCGGCCGGUUCGACCGGUUCAACUGGGAACCGGUCCUGGAUCCGGUUCUUAAAGGCCAAAAAAGCAGUAUUCGUGUGAAUCGGUGAAAACCAGUAAAAACCGGUCAAACCAGUAAAAAGUAAAAACCGAUCCGGUUGAACCGGUAAAACCGGUAAAUACCGGAAAUUUUAAAAAAUAUAUUUUUUUUAUAUAAUUAAAUAUAAUUAUGACAUCAUCCGGUUUUUCGGUUUUUGAGACCGGUUGGACCACUUGAACAAUUGAACUAGUAAGACGACCGGUUCGGUCUCUAGUCCGGUUUUCAAAACCUUGCUAGUUAUGUACUAAUUAAAGAACAAUGUUUUUAUGAACAGUGCAUGUGGUAAAAAGAAUUUACGCCUUUUUUACAGUUAUCGGUGUUCGUUUUUCUUUUCUUUUUUUGAUUUAUUAUUAUUUUUUUUUUACUGUUUUUGCUUAAAAUACCUUCCCAUCGACCAGUUACUUUAAUCCUCCAUCGAACCACCGCCUCAAGUACCUCGAUAACCAAUAUUCUCUCAAAUCCCUUUUCAUCUUUCUUUAGAGCUCGAUCGAUCGACAUGGCCUCGGGGGUGUUUGGCUUAUCUUUUUUAGAGAUAAAAGUCAUUUUUGGAAAAGAUAAAAUGUAAAAGAUGUUUGGUAAAAGGAUUUUAAAAGUUACUUUUGGAUUUUUGAUAUAAGAAAAACUUACUUUUUUGGAAAAGUCAGGAAAACAUGACUUUAAGUAAAUUUUCCAAAGAGGACUUUUGCCUCUUAAAAAGAUUAGCCAAACACCCCCCUCGACGAAAAAAAUGAGAGCGUGCCCACCUGAAAAGGUAGCGGUCGUAGGAAAGGGCUGCAGAACAUACAAACGCAGAAGAGACAAAACACGAUUCGUCCUGCUUUUCAAUCUCUCAUUUGUUGCAUAAUCUGCUUUAACCAAAGAGACGCUCCAUCGUCAAUGACAGCGUGUUGAUUCCUGGGUGUACCCGACUCUCCAUUGUUCUCUCUCACCGUUACCGUCGAUUUUACCUCAAGUAUUUUCGAGUUGUUAGAGUUCAGCUUCACAAAUACGCUCUGCUAUGUCUCUUUGCUCCUACUAACGGUUUGAACUAAGCUAUUAAGUCGACUCUCUUUGCUUGCUUCUGGACAAAUGGACGCAUCUGUAGCACCACUUCUCAACUCGUGUUCGGGAAUCUGUCAGCCAGCAGCUGGGUCGAGUCUACGGGACUUCAGCAAGUGGGGGAUUGUGUCUUCGGGACUUCAGCAGUGUGAGUGUUAGGGGGUGAAAUAGUCCUCGGUUACCGGUUAAAAGAUACCGAAGGAGAGGCCAGCACCCAGAUAUGUUAGGCAGUAUCCGGUCGAGAUGACCGAAGGGGAGCCCAGCACCCAGAUAUGCUAGGCAGUAUCCGGUCGAGAGGACCAAAGGGGAGCCCAGUACCCAGAUAUGCUAGGCAGCAUCCGGUCGAGAGGACCGAAGGGGUAGGUCGGGCACCCAGAUAUGCCUGACAGUAUAUGUACUUCGUGUUUAAAGGAAAGGAGCCGGCUUGAUCGCAGCGCAUCACACUAUGGUUUUCCGCACAUGAGAUCUUUGCGAUUACACUCUGAUAUUGUUUUAUGAUAACAUGUUUGAUUAUUUCUACUUUGGUUUUGACAUGACAUGAUAUUACAAAUGUUUUAUUACACUGUUGGUUUUAUAAUGACGUAUUUAAAAAUGAAAUUUUUGGCCUGUAUUUUUAGGAUGUUACAAAAAUUUUCGUAAAAAAAAAAAAUUAAAAACAAUCCAAUAAUUAUUUAAUAAUAGUUAAAAAAUAGAUAUAAUUAUAUUUUAUUUGCAGACAUGGUUUUUUGAAGCUGCAUUAGCCUAUAAAAAGAAGAUUGGAUUCAUUGGAACCCUUAUUAAGCCCAAGUCUCAAGAAACCACAAAGCACCAGUGUGGUUGGGAUGCUGUCACAUCUACUAAAUUUUAAGGAACUAUCGACUUAUAGGUAAUCCGUUCAAAAAAAAAAAUUUAUCUAUGAUCAUACAUUUAUAUGAAAGAAAAUGUUAAAAACUUAAAAUUGAUUUUAAUGAUUUGCAAGAGUAUGAAGAUUGUAGCUAAAAACAUUAUAUUAUGAAAAGAAAUACAUGUAGCACUUUUUUUUUAAAGAAGGACAAGGGCUAUUCUUUCGAUCUCCCAUCUGUGCAAAAUGACGAAAAUGCCCUCAGGCCUCAUCGUCUUCAUUAUGACCACAAAGUCCAUGAAUGAAACUAACCUAAAUGAAAAUUGGUGCAGACCCGAUUAAAAUAUACCAACAGAUCCUAAAAGUCAUCGCAGAUGACAGAUGAAUACAAGGGAUUUUACUUUAUUUGAGUCUUUUAUUUUUAUUUUUUUUGUAUUAAAAUUGCAUUUUUAUGCUUUUGCUAUGUAAUUCACAUCUAACCUAUGCAGAGCAUGGGCACGUACACUAGUUUUAUAAUUAAUUUACAAAAUAUGUUGAUAAAAGAUGUUACUUUAAAAGCUUAAAGAACAAAUAUGACACAAUAGAAUACAAAAUAUGAGAUUGCAAAACAUGUAUGAUUUUUAAAUGCUUUUUUUUGUCAUUUGUAUUUCUAAACAUCAAUUUUCAACGACUAGUUUUCAGUUAGUCAGCCAAACAAAACCUUAAUUUCAUGAACUGACAUAGAAAACCAUGUGAGGGUAAAUGAAAGUUGAGGGUUAAGUGUUAACGUGAAAAUAAAUUGACAAGUGGUAUUUAAAGUAUCAAUCAUGAAA